UACGGAGGGGGCUAGCAUUGUUCGGAAUUACUGGGCGUAAAGCGCACGUAGGCGGCUUUGUAAGUUAGAGGUGAAAGCCCAGGGCUUAACCCUGGAAUUGCCUUUAAGACUGCAUCGCUAGAAUUGUGGAGAGGUAAGUGGAAUUCCGAGUGUAGAGGUGAAAUUCGUAGAUAUUCGGAAGAACACCAGUGGCGAAGGCGACUUACUGGACACAUAUUGACGCUGAGGUGCGAAAGCGUGGGGAGCAAACAGG
rnacentral:rRNA from 1 species